rnacentral:rRNA from 40 species
GAAGGAACGUUGAAGACGACGACGUUGAUAGGCCGGGUGUGUAAGCGCAGCGAUGCGUUGAGCUAACCGGUACUAAUGAACCGUGAGGCUUAACCUUACAACGCCGAAG